UCCGGUGACGAUAGCACAGAGGAUCCACCUGUUCCCAUUCCGAACACAGAAGUUAAGCUCUGUUACGCCAGAAGUACUUGGGUUUUAACCCCGGGAGAUAAGGUAGUUGCCGGAU
rnacentral:rRNA from 1 species